UAAUGUAUGGGGAUCUGCCCGAUAGAGGGGGAUAACUACUGGAAACGGUGGCUAAUACCGCAUAAUGUCUACGGACCAAAGCAGGGGCUCUUCGGACCUUGCACUAUCGGAUGAACCCAUAUGGGAUUAGCUAGUAGGUGGGGUAAAGGCUCACCUAGGCGACGAUCUCUAGCUGGUCUGAGAGGAUGAUCAGUCACACUGGGACUGAGACACGGCCCAG
rnacentral:rRNA from 1 species